rnacentral:lncRNA from 1 species
UCAGGCCAAUCAAAUGAGACUCUCUUGAAGAGAAUUUACAGUUCAAAUCCUGUUGGAGGUUAAAGCCCCGGGAGGAGAGCUGUUUCCAGACGGAGAGAUAUGAGCUGUGCUGUGCUGCUCCACAGGGAGAAGUUGGAGGACCUGGACAGAAGGGAAGCAAAGGAGACAAGGGUGAAUCUGGCCCACCCGGUCCGACCGGUCUUCAGGGUGUGAUCGGAGCGCCUGGUCCAGCUGUGAGUAGGAUUUAAUCUGAUCAAAUAUUUGGAAAGUACAAAGAAUGAAACAGCUACAUGAAUAAAUCUGCCAGUCAUCAAAAAUAUUGAUCGUUAUCCCCGCUCCAAAAGUGCUGUCGCAUGCUGUGCUUCCUCUGUGGUGGCGCCACUUGCUCUCUUCUCGUUAUCACCAUAGGAACGGUUCUGGUUUCUCAAUAGCUGAUGACCUGAGGAUAAAUUAACAGCUCGCUGCCGCAAAUGAUCAGCCUUCAAACACCAAUUUAGAAAGGUCUCAGCGUCUGCGGGGCCCUGUAGGGGGCUGCAGCAGACCUGAAGAGAUGGAUAGUGGAGGGCAGGUAGCGCGUCCAAGCUGAACAACAAACCAUCGGAGAAAGAUUUGUUGUUCUCCCAGCAGGUCAGGGUGUUCCUGUGCAUCCGUAACUGAGGAGCGAGCGCUGUCACAGUUUGUUGCAUCUGUGCCCUCCCCUCUCAUUUCUUAAUAUGUGGGCAUUUCUAGGAAGCACAAUACUAGCCAGCCAUUAAGUUAGCAUCGCGGCGUAUGCGUCAAAUGCUCUAUCAGUAUUGCCAUUGACAGUAAGAUGAGGCGUCUGGAUCAGGCAAAGAAGAAGUUUUUGGUUUAGUUGGGCCCAAAACAGGGUUUACCAACUUACUCUUCUUUAAUUAGGUCCCUAACUUUCAAAACUUCAUUGGGCCAUGGGAGGAAAAUGUUCCCUUGCAAAGAAACAGCGUGUAAAUAGAGAUAUAUAUAUAUGGAAUAUCAGCACUAUCAGAUCUAUCAGAUAGAUUGUGCACAAACAAAAGAGAAUUCCUUUAAAUGAUGGGGAUCAAACUAACAGACGAGUGCUCUCAUAGAUCUUCGCCGACUGGUCCCUCCGUAAUGUUUUCCAAAGCACUGAUAGAAUCAAAAAUCUGUUCAGAUUUGUGAUAAACUUUUGGUUCAGCUUAACUUUGGCUCUUGUCUCACCUGCAAUCACCGAAUGCCUCCUCCCAAACCUUUCUGCAUUCCGUACCAGCGCCCGAGGCUGCUCGCGUGUCCCAGGGCUCGACGAGAGCUCCACAAGCACUUUCAAGUGCUGACAUGUGUUUGAACUGAAAACUCACAGUUUGUCAGCACUUUGCUCUUUCCCUCAAGUCUCCCCCUGCUAUCCAGCGUGGCCCUGUGCACCUCUGGCUUUACAGAAGGAGUCAGCAUCUUAAGUCAGUCAUGCUUCUAAGCCACUGUCCUCAGCUUCUCAGGUGCCACUCGCUCCCUGGUUACGUUAGCUAGUACAGCUACGGGAAGCACGGGGGCUCAAUGGCUGAAGCUGUUCCCUGAAUUCUGUGAUUUGUAUUAUAUAUAUUGCAUUUUACUUUAAUGUUAAGAGGGCUGAGGAGCUCUCAGCCCACUUAACAGUGAAGAGCGCUGUCAGCUGUAAACUCUUAAUACCAACCCACCCUCUACACGGAUGUGGACGUAAUCCA